AGGGAUGACCUGGGGACCCAGGUUCCUGUGUCCCUCUGCCCUCCAAAGGUUGUCACCCCAAUGUCUGUGAUCAAAUGUGGCUCACUUCUCUGUUCUAAUUGUGGGAGGAGGGACGCAGAGGAGGGAGGGGAGGCAACCAGAUUCCUUGCAAGGAUGUGAGCCAGACAUUGCACAUGCUGCAUGGGUUCCAAUCACAUGGCCUUUCCCAGCUGGAAGGAAGGCCGGGGGCUGUAGUCCCCAGUGGGAGGCUAGGUCCCCUUCUAAAACAUGGGAGGCUUCGUGACUGAGUAGCAAGAAAGCAGAAUGGUCCUGGGGCCCAUUAGCAGUUCUCCUCGCCAUGUUCCCCCUCUAAUCCAUUGCCUUCCCUCUCCUCUAACUCACUCUCCUCCUUUCCCAGGGAUUCCCCUGAAACCAAUGUUGGCCCAUCCCACCCGGGGCGUCAGCGAGGUCCUGAAACGCUUUGAGGAGGCAGCUUUCACCUGCGAAUACAAAUAUGACGGGCAGAGGGCACAGAUCCAUGCCCUGGAAGGCGGGGAGGUGAAGAUCUUCAGCAGGAAUCAGGAAGACAACACUGGGAAGUACCCGGACAUCAUCAGCCGCAUCCCCAAGAUUAAACUCCCAUCGGUCACAUCCUUCAUCCUGGACACCGAAGCCGUGGCUUGGGACCGGGAAAAGAAGCAGAUCCAGCCAUUCCAAGUGCUCACCACCCGCAAACGCAAGGAGGUGGAUGCAUCCGAGAUCCAGGUGCAGGUGUGUUUGUACGCUUUCGACCUCAUCUACCUCAAUGGAGAG
rnacentral:sRNA from 1 species